rnacentral:rRNA from 1 species
AUACGGAGGGUCCAAGCGUUAUCCGGAAUCAUUGGGUUUAAAGGGUGCGCAGGCGGUUUAAUAAGUCAGUGGUGAAAUCUCGGGGCUCAACCUCGAAACUGCCAUUGAUACUGUUAAACUUGAGUUCAGUUGGAGUAGGCGGAAUGUGUAGUGUAGCGGUGAAAUGCUUAGAUAUUACACAGAACACCGAUAGCGAAGGCAGCUUACUAAACUGAUACUGACGCUGAGGCACGAAAGCGUGGGGAGCGAACAGGAUUAGAAACCCGAGUAGUCC